ACCUCAUAAUGCAGCGGAUCCGCAUGGAUAUGUUGUUAAGGUUUACCGCCUUGGGAUAGGCUUGCGUCUGAUUAGCUAGUUGGUGUGGUAACGGCACACCAAGGCUACGAUCAGUAACUGGUCUGAGAGGAUGAUCAGUCACACUGGAACUGAGACACGGUCCAGACUCCUACGGGAGGCAGCAGUGAGGAAUAUUUGGGGCAAUGCUCGAAAGAGUGACCCAGCAACGCCGCGUGGAGGAUGAAGAUAUUCUAUAUCGUAAACUCCUGUGAGAGCAGACGAAAGACAGAUUAUUAAUCUGGAUGACUGUAUGCUCAGAGGAAGCCCCGGCUAACUACGUG
rnacentral:rRNA from 1 species